rnacentral:misc_RNA from 1 species
UCGUAACAAGGUUUCCGUAGGUGAACCUGCGGAAGGAUCAUUACCGAGUGAGGGCCCUCUGGGUCCAACCUCCCACCCGUGUUUAUCGUACCUUGUUGCUUCGGCGGGCCCGCCUCACGGCCGCCGGGGGGCAUCCGCCCCCGGGCCCGCGCCCGCCGAAGACACACAAACGAACUCUUGUCUGAAGAUUGCAGUCUGAGUACUUGACUAAAUCAGUUAAAACUUUCAACAACGGAUCUCUUGGUUCCGGCAUCGAUGAAGAACGCAGCGAAAUGCGAUAAGUAAUGUGAAUUGCAGAAUUCAGUGAAUCAUCGAGUCUUUGAACGCACAUUGCGCCCCCUGGUAUUCCGGGGGGCAUGCCUGUCCGAGCGUCAUUGCUGCCCUCAAGCACGGCUUGUGUGUUGGGCUCUCGCCCCCCGCUUCCGGGGGGCGGGCCCGAAAGGCAGCGGCGGCACCGCGUCCGGUCCUCGAGCGUAUGGGGCUUCGUCACCCGCUCUGUAGGCCCGGCCGGCGCCCGCCGGCGAACACCAUCAAUCUUAACCAGGUUGACCUCGGAUCAGGUAGGGAUACCCGCUGAACCUAAGCAUAUCA